ensembl:ncRNA C05B10.14 ncRNA
UUUCCUCUCCAUUUUUUCCUUUUUUCGGCGGCGUCACAACGAAUUAAUGAAUUUAUUGGAGCGAAAACGUUGCUCCGACGGGGCGGAGAAGGGCACACUAGAAUUUAUGAAUGGUG